CCAGCGACAUAUACUCUGUAUCAAGGGUAACCGUAUAGGAGAGACGCAGGGCAACCGAGUCUUAACUGGACGAUAAGUUGCAGGGUAUAGACCCGAAACCCGGUGAUAUAGCCAUGGGCAGGUUGAAGGUUGAGUAACACUAACUGGAGGACCGAACCGACUAAUGUUGAAAAAUUAGCGGAUGUCUUGUGUAUGGGAGUGAAAGGCUAAGGAAACCGGGAGAUAGAUGGUUCUCCCCGAAAGCUAU
rnacentral:rRNA from 1 species